UUCCCUCCACAACAUCUGCAUCAGCUUCUGCCUCCAGGUUCCAGCCCUACUUAAGUUCCUAUUCUUCCUCCAAUGAAGGACUAUGAUGUGGGAGUGUAAGCUAAAUAAACCCUUUCCUCCCCAGCUUGCUUUUUGGUCGUGGUUUUUCAUCACAACAAUAGAAACCCUAACUAAGAUAGCUGGGAAUCAGUGUUCUUCAGUCUAAGUAGAAAGUCAGAUCCGGGGAAGGUCAGACUGUUUGAGGCUUGGAUUGAGUCAUGUUUUAAUGUCCAGGUAAGCAGAGAUAGGAUGGGUAAGGGAAUCAGGGACAGUUGAAUGUUGGCUACUGGGAAGCAGAGCUAUGUUAACUAGUUUGGUGGAUGUGGGACUGAGCCAGCAAACCACAGAUUCUGCGAAACACAAAUCAAGUAUUGCUUCCUCCGCCAAGGCUUUGUUGAGUAUCUACUACCCCGUGGUGAGUUACUAAAACCACUGGCCAAAGGUAGUGUUUGCACCGCAGAAAUCAACUAAUGAUCAAACCAGUGUUCCCCAUCUGCCACCCCACCCCACCUAGCACACCACAGCCUUUGUCAUAGUACUUGUCCCCACAUUAUGUAGUCACAAUACUUCUCUCCUGGAUGAAUUCCAUUUACCAACUUGGUCUAACAAGUAUUAUUGAUAUUUAGUACUGUGUAUCAGAGACUUAUAGCAAGGCACUCGGAGAAGAAUUAAUAAGCAAGGUCCUCACUGGUUUGGCAUUCAACCAUCUAUCAGAUAGGUCAGAAGGUAUGAAUUCUCUAUUUUUCAAACUAAGCUGGGCUGCUGUAUAAUAGAAUAUCUUGGUAACUUGAACAAGGUGGCCCAGGGAGGCACCUUUGAAGAGCUGACUGUCCACUUAGGGCUGAAGGAUGAGAAAGAGAAUGGCUAAAGGGGAGAGCCAAACAGUGUUCCAGCCCCAAAGGGUUAAACUAACUGAAGAGCUGGGCUAGUUAAAGGACAAGAUGGUUAGUUUUGCUUCAGGGCACAGAAUGUGAGCCAUUGUGAGAACCCUAAAUUAAAUUAUAGCCACUGAAGGGUUGAAAUGGGGUAAUAUUCUCUGGUUCACAUUUUAAGACAAACACUCUUGCUUUUGUUUGAAGGACAGGAGUCGAGGUGGGAGUCCUUGUAUCACAGCGAAGCCAAGUGCUGGCGGCGGGACGGAGAAAACUGGAGCGUUUGACAGGACUUGUUAGUCGACUGAAUGUAGUGGAGGAAGGACUGGAGAAGGAAGGGAGAGAAAGAGAGACAGAGUGACUCUUCUUCAGUUUCUUACCAGGAUACAAUGCUUUCAGCUCCAGGCCGGCUCAAUGGCCUCAGCACUCUGAAAGUCUCAGAGAGGACCACGCUGUGAGGAUCUGUUAGCUGUCCUACUCUUGACCUCCUGGCCCUGUGGUAGGACAAUCAGAAGAUGGCUUAUUACACCCAACCAGAACUUGCAGUUCUCUGUGUGGCCAGGCAUCAGGGAAUUUCUGCUCAUGCAUCACUGAACAGCUCAAGAAGAAGGUACCCCAUCAAGGGGUAGUGAUCAACUGUCAGCUCUUCAAAGAAGACACACAACUAGUUUAAGCUGGGAGCUUCCCUUCCAACAUCCAUAACACUCUGUGCUUCUUUCUCUAAGUGAACAUAACAGACACUUCUGUGUUCUGCCAUGUCCUCUUAACAUCACUGCUUCUAUAGACAAGACUAUUCUACUGUGUGCAGCCCCAAGAAUAGGCUAGUCCAGCGGCCAGGGAAGGCCAGAAGUGGGAGUUAUUGGACAAAGGCCACAGAUUACACAUUCUAAUGGGACAACAGCAGACAAAUGCUGCAGUGUCUCUGAGAGAUCCUCAACAGGACUGAGCCCACUGCCCACAGCAGUGGCCUGCUCAUUAGCACACCUGUAUUGGUUUUCACCUCUUCCCUGUCCAGCGUCUCUCUCCUUUUCUUGUGAUUCAUAGGACCCACUGUAUACUCAGUCUAAGACAAUGCACACAGCCUGCUGUAUAUCCUACCUCUGUGCCUUUCUUUCUCCUCAGAUAUGACUAUUUAAUGAAAGAGACUUGACCCACUUCAUAUUUUUAUACUGUGUUUUGCAUUAUGCCUAGACUAUAACACCCAGAAAAUCUAUGUUAAAUGUACAAAUGAGUGAGUCAACUAUAGGCCCAAAGGAUGAUAAUAAUAACAUCUGGCAUUUAGUGUGUCCUUAGAUAACAUUUUCUUCUCUAAUCUUAAUAACAAUCCAGGAACAAGAUGUUCCAUGCUAGGGCUAAGAAGUGAAUAUCUGUAACUACUGAACUUUCCAGAUGUGCUCAAAGCUUGGCUCCUACUCUCUGGCAGUUAGCCUGUCUGCCAGGCUGGCUGCCCCUGACAGCCCUGUCCUCCAGCAGCUCUGGCCUGUGGGAAUUCAUCACCUCUGUUAGGACCGCAGCUUUUGCCGUAUAUAACAGUGAGUGUUCCUUUCUCCUCAUGCCAACUCUUCAGGCCUUGCUCUCUUCUGCUCUUCACAUUAAAAAAAAGAAAGAAAU